CGGAGGGUCCAAGCGUUAUCCGGAUUUAUUGGGUUUAAAGGGUGCGUAGGUGGCUUUUUAAGUCAGGGGUGAAAGACGGUAGCUUAACUAUCGCAGUGCCUUUGAUACUGAAGAGCUUGAAUGAACUAGAGGUAGGCGGAAUGUGACAAGUAGCGGUGAAAUGCAUAGAUAUGUCACAGAACACCAAUUGCGAAGGCAGCUUACUAUGGUUAGAUUGACACUGAGGCACGAAAGCGUGGGGAUCAAACAGGAUUAGAUACCCUGGUAGUCCACGCCCUAAACGAUGAAUACUCGAUGUUGGCGAUAUACGGUCAGCGUCUAAGCGAAAGCGUUAAGUAUUCCACCUGGGGAGUACGCCCGCAAGGGUG
rnacentral:rRNA from 1 species